GGGCCUGUAGCUCAACUGGUCAGAGCCGGCGGCUCAUAACCGCUUGGUUGGAGGUUCGAAUCCUCCCGGGCCCACCG
rnacentral:tRNA from 1 species